rnacentral:lncRNA from 1 species
UUGAUUAUAUAAAUGGCUAUUCCAAUUUAGUUAUAUUAUUCACUAUACAAUAAAUUUGACUUGCUGACAUUUAUAUAAUUAUUUUCUGGUUAUUUAACUCACAAGUACUAUCUUCCUCCUAACACAUUUAUUGCUGAAAUACUGUUUUGAUUCGCUUCUCAUAUAUUCAGUCCUAUCACUUUGUGCAAAUGUUCUCUCUUCUCAUCUCUUUCCCCUAUUUGUAUUCAGUAGGCUAUAAGUUACUGUUGGCUUUUGAAAGGUUCUAUUUGUCCACCCUAAAUUGUCACUCAACAUUAAUUAAAAGAAUAAAAUGAAACAAUUUAGAAAGGAAUGGGUGAGGUGAUGAUGACCAACUAAUUUUAACACGAAGAUGCCAUAAAAAGAAUUUUAAACAAAAAUCUUAAAACGACAUUGAAACCAAAAAAAUGAGUGUGCUAUAUAUUGUGAACAACAUAAAAGGCCACAUAAUCUUUGGAAGCAGAUCACUUUCAUUUCUAGCUUCUAUGAGUUGAAACCUCCUUCGAAUUCCUGUUCUCUGUGUCUCUAUUAUUAUCAAAUAGUGCUCCCCUACACUGAGGAAGCUCUUUCCUUUCUGAGUACUGAGAGCUGGUGAGCAUAUUCUUCACUAUACUCUAGGUCUUCAUUUUAGUGGGAAUGGUAGGUUUGCUGAUUGGUUCUAGUGAACAGGUGUAACGUGUCUAAGUCAAUGGACGACGCGACGCUUUUCGGAAGGUAACACCUUAAUGGGAGCUCAACAUUAAUGAUCUAAAAAUAUGUUUCAUCCUCUGGCCUUCAAAAUAGUUUCACUUUUGACUUGUCUAGUUUGACCAAAGCCUUGUUAUUUUUCCAGUUCCCAUUGUGAAAAUAAUAACAAUAAUUUAUUCAACACAUUAUUUAUUGAGCAUCUUUUAUAGGUGCCAGGGAUACAUCAAUGAAAAAAGCAGACAAAAGUCCCUGGUCUUAAGGAUCUUACAUUCUAGAGAAAAAGGGACAAUGUACAAUAGGUAAUUAUUUUCCAUAAAGUAUAACGAUGCGAUGAUAACAAAUAUUUAUUGAGCAACUU